rnacentral:rRNA from 1 species
CGUACUCCCCAGCGAAUGCUAUGCGUAGCUGCAGCACUGAAGGGCGGAAACCCUCCAACACUAGCAUCAUCGUUUACGGUAUGGACUACCAGGGUAUCUAAUCUGUUUGCUACCCAUACUUUCGAGCUCAGCGUCAGUUACAGACCAGACAGCCGCUUCGCCACUGGUGUUCUUCCAUAUAUCUACGCAUUUCACCGCUACACAUGGAGUUCCACUGUCCUCUUCUGCACUCAAGUUUCCCAGUUUCCGAUGCACUUCUUCGGUUGAGCCGAAGGCUUUCACAUCAGACUUAAAAAACCGCCUGCGCUCGCUUUACGCCCAAUAAAUCCGGACAACGCUUGCCACCUACGUAUUACCGCGGCUGCUGGCACGUAGUUAGCCGUGGCUUUCUGGUUAAAUACCGUCAAUACCUGAACAGUUACUCUCAGAUAUGUUCUUCUUUAACAACAGAGUUUUACGAGCCGAAACCCUUCUUCACUCACGCGGCGUUGCUCCAUCAGACUUUCGUCCAUUGUGGAAGAUUCCCUACUGCUGCCUCCCGUAGGAGUUUGGGCCGUGUCUCAGUCCCAAUGUGGCCGAUUACCCUCUCAGGUCGGCUACGUAUCAUUGCCAUGGUGAGCCGUUACCUCACCAUCUAGCUAAUACGCCGCGGGACCAUCCAAAAGUGAUAGCCGAAGCCAUCUUUCAAACUCGGACCAUGCGGUCCAAGUUGUUAUGCGGUAUUAGCAUCUGUUUCCAGGUGUUAUCCCCCGCUUCUGGGCAGGUUUCCCACGUGUUACUCACCAGUUCGCCACUCACUCAAAUGUAACUCAUGAUGCAAGCACCAAUCAUUACCAGAGUUCGUUCGACUUGCAU